rnacentral:rRNA from 1 species
AGUGAACGCUGGCGGUAGGCCUAACACAUGCAAGUCGAACGGCAGCACAGUAAGAGCUUGCUCUUACGGGUGGCGAGUGGCGGACGGGUGAGGAAUACAUCGGCAUCUACUUUUUCGUGGGGGAUAACGUAGGGAAACUUACGCUAAUACCGCAUACGACCUACGGGUGAAAGCAGGGGAUCUUCGGACCUUGCGCGAUUGAAUGAGCCGAUGUCGGAUUAGCUAGUUGGGGGGGUAAAGGCCCACCAAGGCGACGAGCCGUAGCUGGUCUGAGAGGAUGAUCGGCCACACUGGAACUGAGACACGGUCAAGACUCCUACGGGAGGAACAAGUGGGGAAUAUUCGACAAUGGGCGAAAGCCUGAUCCAGCCAGACCGCGUGGGUGAAGAAGGCCUCCGGUUUGUAAAGCCCUUUGUUUGGGAAAGAAAAGCAGCAGGUUAAUACCGCGCUGUUCUGACGGUACCCAAAGAAUAAGCACCGGCUAACUUCGUG